GACAGAGGAUGCAAGCGUUAUCCGGAAUUAUUGGGCGUAAAGAGCUCGUAGGCGGUGUGUCGCGUCGGCCGUGAAAACCUGCAGCUUAACUGUGGGCUUGCGGUCGAUACGGGCAUCACUGGAGUUCGGCAGGGGAGACUGGAAUUCCUGGUGUAGCGGUGAAAUGCGCAGAUAUCAGGAGGAACACCGGUGGCGAAGGCGGGUCUCUAGGCCGAUACUGACGCUGAGGAGCGAAAGCGUGGGGAGCGAACAGG
rnacentral:rRNA from 1 species